CCUACGGGGGUCAGCAGUGAGGAAUAUUGGUCAAUGGGCUUACGCCUGAACCAGCCAAGUCGCGUGAGGGAAGACUGCCCUAUGGGUUGUAAACCUCUUUUGUCAGGGAGCAACGCCGGCUACGUGUAGCCGGACUGAGAGUACCUGAAGAAAAAGCAUCGGCUAACUCCGUGCCAGCAGCCGCGGUAAUAAGGAGGAUGCGAGCGUUAUCCGGAUUUAUUGGGUUUAAAGGGUGCGUAGGCGGAAUGCCAAGUCAGCGGUAAAAUCGCGGGGCUCAACCUCGCUCCGCCGUUGAAACUGGCGUUCUGGAGUGGGCGAGAAGUAUGCGGAAGGCGUGGUGUAGCGGUGAAAUGCAUAGAUAUCACGCAGAACUCCGAGUGCGAAGGCAGCAUACCGGCGCCCAACUGACGCUGAAGCACGAAAGCGUGGGUAUCGAACAGGAUUAGAUACCCCUGUAGUC
rnacentral:rRNA from 1 species